rnacentral:rRNA from 1 species
CUACGGGUGGCAGCAGUGGGGAAUAUUGCACAAUGGGCGCAAGCCUGAUGCAGCCAUGCCGCGUGUGUGAAGAAGGCCUUCGGGUUGUAAGGCACUUUCAGCGGGGAGGAAGGCGGUGAGGUUAAUAACCUCAUCGAUUGACGUUACCCGCAGAAGAAGCACCGGCUAACUCCGUGCCAGCAGCCGCGGUAAUACGGAGGGUGCAAGCGUUAAUCGGAAUUACUGGGCGUAAAACGCACGCAGGCGGUCUGUCAAGUCGGAUGUGAAAUCCCCGGGCUCAACCUGGGAACUGCAUUCGAAACUGGCAGGCUAGAGUCUUGUAGAGGGGGGUAGAAUUCCAGGUGUAGCGGUGAAAUGCGUAGAGAUCUGGAGGAAUACCGGUGGCGAAGGCGGCCCCCUGGACAAAGACUGACGCUCAGGUGCGAAAGCGUGGGGAGCAAACAGGAUUAGAUACCCUAGUAGUC